CCAGAGAUGGAUUUGGUGCCUUUCGGGGAACUCUGAGACAGGUGCUGCAUGGCUGUCGUCAGCUCGUGUUGUGAAAUGUUGGGUUAAGUCCCGCAACGAGCGCAACCCUUAUCCUUUGUUGCCAGCGGUCCGGCCGGGAACUCAAAGGAGACUGCCAGUGAUAAACUGGAGGAAGGUGGGGAUGACGUCAAGUCAUCAUGGCCCUUACGAGUAGGGCUACACACGUGCUACAAUGGCGCAUACAAGAGAAGCGACCUCGCGAGAGCAAGCGGACCUCAUAAAGUGCGUCGUAGUCCGGAUUGGAGUCUGCAACUCGACUCCAUGAAGUCGGAAUCGCUAGUAAUCGUGGAUCAGAAUGCCACGGUGAAUACGUUCCCGGGCCUUGUACACACCGCCCGUCACACCAUGGGAGUGGGUUGCAAAAGAAGUAGGUAGCUUAACCUUCGGGAGGGCGCUUACCACUUUGUGAUUCAUGACUGGGGUGAAGUCGUAACAAGGUAAGCGUAGUGCU
rnacentral:rRNA from 1 species